rnacentral:rRNA from 1 species
CGGACGGGUGAGUAAUGUCUGGGAAACUGCCUGAUGGAGGGGGAUAACUACUGGAAACGGUAGCUAAUACCGCAUAACGUCGCAAGACCAAAGAAGGGGACCUUAGGGCCUCUUGCCAUCGGAUGUGCCCAGAUGGGAUUAGCUAGUAGGUGGGGUAACGGCUCACCUAGGCGACGAUCCCUAGCUGGUCUGAGAGGAUGACCAGCCACACUGGAACUGAGACACGGUCCAG